rnacentral:rRNA from 1 species
UUGCCCUAGUAACGGCGAGUGAAGCGGCAACAGCUCAAAUUUGAAAUCUGGCUCUUUCAGAGUCCGAGUUGUAAUUUGCAGAGGGCGCUUUGGUGUUGGCAGCGGUCCAAGUUCCUUGGAACAGGACGUCACAGAGGGUGAGAAUCCCGUACGUGGUCGCUAGCCUUCGCCGUGUAAAGCCCCUUCGACGAGUCGAGUUGUUUGGGAAUGCAGCUCUAAAUGGGAGGUAAAUUUCUUCUAAAGCUAAAUACUGGCCAGAGACCGAUAGCGCACAAGUAGAGUGAUCGAAAGAUGAAAAGCACUUUGGAAAGAGAGUCAAAUAGCACGUGAAAUUGUUGAAAGGGAAGCGCUUGCAGCCAGACUUGCCUGUAGUUGCUUAUCCGGACUUUUGUCCGGUGCACUCUUCUGCGGGCAGGCCAGCAUCAGUUUGGGCGGUUGGAUAAAGGUCUCUGUCAUGUACCUCUCUUCGGGGAGAACUUAUAGGGGAGACGACAUGCAACCAGCCUGGACUGAGGUCCGCGCAUCUGCUAGGAUGCUGGCGUAAUGGCUGUAAGCGGCCCGUCUUGAAACACGGACCAAGGAGUCUAACAUCUAUGCGAGUGUUUGGGUGUCAAGCCCAGACGCGUAAUGAAAGUGAACGGAGGUGGGAACCCUUUGGGUGCACCAUCGACCGAUCCUGAUGUCUUCGGAUGGAUUUGAGUAAGAGCAUGGCUGUUGGGACCCGAAAGAUGGUGAACUAUGCUUGAAUAGGGUGAAGCCAGAGGAAACUCUGGUGGAGGCUCGCAGCGGUUCUGACGUGCAAAUCGAUCGUCAAAUUUGGGCAUAGGGGCGAAAGACUAAUCG